rnacentral:lncRNA from 1 species
CCAAAGUUGCUUUAUACCACUUCCAUUAUGCACAGCGGUUCACUGUCUUGGAUCAUAGAGGACUUCAGAAUGCAAGUACCUCUCAAAAGGCCCAGCCCCAACUGACGUCCUCUCUGGAUGGUCUACAGUGCUUAAGAGGCUGUUCUUCAUCUGGAUCAAAUUUGACUGUGGAUGCCUGUCUCCAUGCAUAAUGAUCUAGAGGAUGAAAGAGGUUUUCAGAGCAAAAGAACACAUUUUGAAU